UCCCAGUGCGCGUCUAGCAGGAGCCUGCGUCCCCGGGGUGCCGGCAGCGCCGCCGGCCGGUGCUGGGUGCGCCGGGCCAUGCAGCGGCGGCCGCGGCGGAGCUCCGAGCGGCGGUAGCGCCCCCUGUGAGGCGACCAGAGAUGCCCCGGCCACUGUGAACCGCGCCGCCCGCCAGGACACGCUCAGCCCGGGACACGCUCGGCUCUGCGCGCCCGCGACAGGCACCGGGGCGAGGGAGCGACCAGCGCGGCGCAGGCCGCCCAGCGGGGGCGGGGGAGGCCGGCCGGUGCGGCGCGGGGCCACCUACUCGCUCUGACUCCGGCUGGCACUG
rfam:Canis familiaris ctg19866850984797, whole genome shotgun sequence.